ACGAACGCUGGCGGCGUGCUUCACACAUGCAAGUCGAACGGAAAGGCCCUGCUUUUGUGGGGUGCUCGAGUGGCGAACGGGUGAGUAACACGUGAGUAACCUGCCCUUGACUUUGGGAUAACUUCAGGAAACUGGGGCUAAUACCGGAUAGGAGCUCCUGCUGCAUGGUGGGGGUUGGAAAGUUUCGGCGGUUGGGGAUGGACUCGCGGCUUAUCAGCUUGUUGGUGGGGUAGUGGCUUACCAAGGCUUUGACGGGUAGCCGGCCUGAGAGGGUGACCGGCCACAUUGGGACUGAGAUACGGCCCAGACUCCUACGGGAGGCAGCAGUGGGGAAUAUUGCACAAUGGGCGGAAGCCUGAUGCAGCAACGCCGCGUGCGGGAUGACGGCCUUCGGGUUGUAAACCGCUUUCGCCUGUGACGAAGCGUGAGUGACGGUAAUGGGUAAAGAAGCACCAGCUAACUACGUG
rnacentral:rRNA from 1 species